rnacentral:rRNA from 1 species
AACGAACGCUGGCGGCAUGCCUAACACAUGCAAGUCGAACGAGACCUUCGGGUCUAGUGGCGCACGGGUGCGUAACGCGUGGGAACCUGCCCUUAGGUUCGGAAUAACUCCCCGAAAGGGGUGCUAAUACCGGAUAAUGUCUUCGGACCAAAGAUUUAUCGCCUUUGGAUGGGCCCGCGUUGGAUUAGCUAGUUGGUAGGGUAAAAGCCUACCAAGGCGACGAUCCAUAGCUGGUCUGAGAGGAUGAUCAGCCACACUGGGACUGAGACACGGCCCAGACUCCUACGGGAGCCAGCAGUGGGGAAUAUUGGACAAUGGGCGAAAGCCUGACCAGCAAUGCCGCGUGAGUGAUGAAGGCCUUAGGGUUGUAAAGCUCUUUUACCCGGGAUGAUAAUGACAGUACCGGGAGAAUAAGCUCCGGCUAACUCCGUG